rnacentral:misc_RNA from 1 species
CAACAACGAAAGGAGGUGAUCCAGUGUCUCAUUGUCAUACCCUACGGUCCCCGGUUGCCGUGACCUGGAUCUUGGCCUCUGCCGAGAUUGGUGCGUAACGCACGCGCAUCGUGCGGAAAAGUGGAAUCCGGUUUUCCGCGCCUAACGAUGCGCCCUUGAAAAAGG